rnacentral:rRNA from 1 species
GACGAACGCUGGCGGCGUGCCUAACACAUGCAAGUCGAACGGAAAGGCCCUGCUUUUGUGGGGUGCUCGAGUGGCGAACGGGUGAGUAACACGUGAGUAACCUGUCCCUGUCUUUGGGAUAACUUCACGAAACUGGGGCUAUUACCGGAUAGGAGAUCCUGCUGCAUGGUGGGGGUUGGAAAGUUUCGGCGGUUGGGGCUAGUCUCGCGGCUUAUCCGCUUGAUGGGGGGGUAGUGGCUUACCAAGGCUUUGACGGGUAGCCGGCCUGAGAGGCUGACCAGCCACAUUGGGACUGAGAGACGGCCCAGACUCCUACGUGAGGCAGCAGUGGGAAAUAUUGCACAAUGAGCGGAAGCCUGAUGCAGCAACGCCGCGUGCGUGAAGACGGCCUUCGGGUUGUAAACCGCUGUCGCCUGUGACGAAGCGUGAGUGACGGUAAUGGGUAAAGAAGCACCGGCUAACUACGUG